rnacentral:rRNA from 1 species
GUGGGGAAUAUUGGACAAUGGGCGAAAGCCUGAUCCAGCCAUGCCGCGUGUGUGAAGAAGGUCUUCGGAUUGUAAAGCACUUUAAGUUGGGAGGAAGGGCAGUAAGUUAAUACCUUGCUGUUUUGACGUUACCGACAGAAUAAGCACCGGCUAACUUCGUGCCAGCAGCCGCGGUAAUACGAAGGGUGCAAGCGUUAAUCGGAAUUACUGGGCGUAAAGCGCGCGUAGGUGGUUUUGUAAGUUGGAGGUGAAAUCCCCGGGCUCAACCUGGGAACUGCCACCAAAACUGCAUGACUAGAGUACGGUAGAGGGUAGUGGAAUUUCCUGUGUAGCGGUGAAAUGCGUAGAUAUAGGAAGGAACACCAGUGGCGAAGGCGACUACCUGGACUGAUACUGACACUGAGAUGCGAAAGCGUGGGGAGCAAACAGGAUUAGAUACCCUGGUAGUCC